GUCCUGUUGAUUAUAAUUUAAGGUCUGACCUGCCCACUGAGAAGUUAAAUGGCCGCGGUAUUUUGACCGUGCAAAGGUAGCAUAAUCAUUAGUUUUUUAAAUGAAAGCUUGUAUGAAAGGUUUAAUGAAAAAAAAUCUGUCUCUAUAAAAAUUUAUUAGAAUUUUAUUUUUAAGUUAAAAAGCUUAAAUUGAUGUAGAAGACGAGAAGACCCUAUAGAGUUUUAUACAAGGUUAGAAUAACUGAAUUUAAAGAUUAUGAAAAUUCUGAUUCUAGUUAUGUAUUUUGUUGGGGUGAUGAAAAAAUUAAAUUAACUUUUUUUGUAUAAAGCCACUGAUUUGUGAAUUAAUGAUCCUAAAGUUUAGAUUGAAAGAUUAAAUUACCUUAGGGAUAACAGCGUAAUUUUUUUUAGAGUUCUUAUCGAAUAAAAAGAUUGCGACCUCGAUGUUGGAUUAAAAUAAAUUAUUGGUGUAGAAGCUAGUAUAUUAGGUCUGUUCGACCUUUAAAAUUUUACAUGAUCUGAGUUUAAACCGGCGUGAG
rnacentral:rRNA from 1 species